rnacentral:rRNA from 1 species
UACGAAGGGGGCGAGCGUUGUUCGGAUUUACUGGGCGUAAAGAGCGCGCAGGCGGUCGUUCAAGUCGCGUGUGAAAGCCCCCGGCUCAACUGGGGAGGGUCACGCGAUACUGAUCGACUCGAAGGCAGGAGGAGGGAAGUGGAAUUCCCGGUGUAGUGGUGAGAUGCGUAGAUAUCGGGAGGAACACCAGUGGCGAAGGCGACUUCCUGGCCUGUUCUUGACGCUGAGGCGCGAAAGCUAGGGGAGCAAACGGGG